GUGCCAGCCGCCGCGGUAAGACGUAGGGAGCGAGCGUUGUCCGGAUUCAUUGGGCGUAAAGCGCGCGUAGGCGGUUUGGUAAGUCGGAUGUGAAAUCCCGAGGCUCAACCUCGGGACUGCAUCCGAUACUGCCCGACUAGAGGUAGGUAGGGGAGAUCGGAAUUCCUGGUGUAGCGGUGAAAUGCGCAGAUAUCAGGAGGAACACCGGUGGCGAAGGCGGAUCUCUGGGCCUUACCUGACGCUGAGGCGCGAAAGCUAGGGGAGCGAACAGGAUUAGAAACCCCCGUAGUCC
rnacentral:rRNA from 1 species